GAUGAACGCUGGCGGCGUGCUUAACACAUGCAAGUCGAACGGAAAGGCGCUGCUUUUGUGGGGUGCUCGAGUGACGAACGGGUAAGUAACACGAGCGUAACCUGCCCUUGACUUUGGGUUAACUUCAGGGAACUGGGGCUCAUACCCGAUAGGAGCUCCUGCUGCAUGGUGGGGGUUGGAUCGCUUCGGCGGAGGGGGAUGGACUCGCGGCUUAUCAGCUUGUUGGUGGGGUAGUGGCUUACCAAGGCCUUGACGGGUAGCCGGCCUGAGAGGGUGACCGGGGACAUUGGGACUACGGGAGGGCGCAGACGCGUACGGUAGGCAGUAGGCGGAAAUAUUGCACAGUAAGGGGAAGCGCGAUGCAGAGACGUCGCGGUCGUGAUGUGGUCCUGCGGGUAGUGAACCGCUUUUGCUUGAGACGAAGCGUUAGUGACGGUAAUGGGAAAAGAAGCACCGGCUAACUACGUG
rnacentral:rRNA from 1 species